rnacentral:rRNA from 1 species
UACAGAGGGGGCAAGCGUUAUUCGGAAUUAUUGGGCGUAAAGGGCGCGUAGGCGGCUUUGCAAGUGACGGGUGAAAGCCCUCGGCUUAACCGAGGAACUGCCUGUCAGACUGUAAGGCUUGAGACCGGGAGAGGUGAGUGGAAUUCCCAGUGUAGCGGUGAAAUGCGUAGAUAUUGGGAGGAACACCAGUGGCGAAGGCGGCUCACUGGACCGGAACUGACGCUGAGGAGCGAAAGCGUGGGUAGCAAACAGG